rnacentral:rRNA from 1 species
GGGGAAUAUUGCACAAUGGGGGGAACCCUGAUGCAGCGACGCCGCGUGGAGGAAGAAGGUCUUCGGAUUGUAAACUCCUGUCGAAGAGGACGAUAAUGACGGUACUCUUCAAGAAAGCUCCGGCUAACUACGUGCCAGCAGCCGCGGUAAUACGUAGGGAGCGAGCGUUGUCCGGAAUUACUGGGUGUAAAGGGAGCGUAGGCGGGAUGGCAAGUCAGAUGUGAAAACUAUGGGCUCAACCCAUAGACUGCAUUUGAAACUGUUGUUCUUGAGUGAGGUAGAGGUAAGCGGAAUUCCCGGUGUAGCGGUGGAAUGCGUAGAUAUCGGGAGGAACACCAGUGGCGAAGGCGGCCUACUGGGCACCAACUGACGCUGAGGCUCGAAAGUGUGGGUAGCAAACAGGAUUAGAUACCCUGGUAGUCCACACCGUAAACGAUGAUUACUAGGUGUUGGAGGAUUGACCCCUUCAGUGCCGCAGUUAACACAAUAAGUAAUCCACCUGGGGAGUACGACCGCAAGGUUGAAACUCAAAGGAAUUGACGGGGGCCCGCACAAGCAGUGGAGUAUGUGGUUUAAUUCGACGCAACGCGAAGAACCUUACCAAGUCUUGACAUCCCUUGACAGGCAUAGAAAUAUGUUUUCUCUUCGGAGCAAGGAGACAGGUGGUGCAUGGUUGUCGUCAGCUCGUGUCGUGAGAUGUUGGGUUAAGUCCCGCAACGAGCGCAACCCUUAUGGUCAGUUACUACGCAAGAGGACUCUGGCCAGACUGCCGUUGACAAAACGGAGGAAGGUGGGGAUGACGUCAAAUCAUCAUGCCCUUUAUGACUUGGGCUACACACGUACUACAAUGGCGUUAAACAAAGAGAAGCAAGACCGCGAGGUGGAGCAAAACUCAGAAACAACGUCCCAGUUCGGACUGCAGGCUGCAACUCGCCUGCACGAAGUCGGAAUUGCUAGUAAUCGCGGAUCAGCAUGCCACGGUGAAUACGUUCCCG